AGUGAACGCUGGCGGUAGGCCUAACACAUGCAAGUCGAACGGCAGCACAGUAAGAGCUUGCUCUUACGGGUGGCGAGUGGCGGACGGGUGAGGAAUGCAUCGGAAUCUACUUUUUCGUGGGGGAUAACGUAGGGAAACUUACGCUAAUACCGCAUACGACCUACGGGUGAAAGCAGGGGAUCUUCGGACCUUGCACGAUUGAAUGAGCCGAUGUCGGAUUAGCUAGUUGGCGGGGUAAAGGCCCACCAAGGCGACGAUCCGUAGCUGGUCUGAGAGGAUGAUCAGCCACACUGGAACUGAGACACGGUCCAGACUCCUACGGGAGGCAGCAGUGGGGAAUAUUGGACAAUGGGCGCAAGCCUGAUCCAGCCAUACCGCGUGGGUGAAGAAGGCCUUCGGGUUGUAAAGCCCUUUUGUUGGGAAAGAAAAGCAGCAGGUUAAUACCCCGCUGUUCUGACGGUACCCAAAGAAUAAGCACCGGCUAACUUCGUG
rnacentral:rRNA from 1 species